rnacentral:lncRNA from 1 species
UCCGUUGAUGUGGGGGGCGGGGUGUGGAUCGGACGGACGAGGACUCGCGAGGGGGCCGCGGGGUUCUUGAACUUGGUGUGCGUGCACGGAACGCGGGGCUCAGAUGUUCGGCGUGAGGGGCAACGAGCGGACAGGGGGGCGGGCACGGGGCCUGCGCCGCCGCCGCGGGGAAGCCGGCUGUUUCCUUUCUUUCCUCGCAAGCAGAGGGCGGGGGAGGUUUGGUCAGACUUGUCGUUUGGGUCUCGCCUUCAUGGCCAUGGGGCUACACGAGGCGUCGCGCGCGGGUGCAGCGGGUGCGGCGACCAGCGUACAUGACACCUGUUGCUGUUGGGGUGGGGCCCGGCCGUCUGGUACGCGUGACGCAAGACGCAUGACUGUUCUCAUCGUUGUUGGGUUACCAUUGCUGGUCUCCAGCCUUUAUUUUUGGUAGUUUCAUAUGGUUGGUACUUGGUAGUUCACUCGUUAGAAACAAGCAAUCGAGUUUCAUCUGUUAUUAAAAAGCGGAAAAUAACUGACUCGAUUUCCCUUUGCAUAUUGAUAUUCUAUGGUAAUACACUCUCUCUCAGUUUCAGGUUGGUUUUAGAAUUCGAGUUGAUUAG